CACGUAGGGCGCAAGCGUUGUCCGGAAUUAUUGGGCGUAAAGAGCUCGUAGGCGGUCUGUUGCGUCCGCUGUGAAAACUCGGGGCUUAACCCCGAGCCUGCAGUGGAUACGGGCAGACUAGAGGUAGGUAGGGGAGAAUGGAAUUCCCGGUGUAGCGGUGAAAUGCGCAGAUAUCGGGAGGAACACCGGUGGCGAAAGCGGCUCACUGGACCUCUUCUGACGCUGAGGCACGAAAGCUAGGGUAGCGAACGGG
rnacentral:rRNA from 1 species